AAAAUAUGAAUCUACUCUGACUGGUAUCAACACUAGAGUCACUCAUUACCUCUCUCCCCUGAACCGCUGCAGGUUGCCUUGACCUUUGCUGAUUAGAUACGUGUCAUUGUGGAGCUGAACUGGUGUUUUCAAUGAUUUCAGCCAAUGAAAACACAGUUCUACAACCCGUUCUGUUUCAGUUCAGGGCUAAUUAUUGCUAAUUAUUGCUAUGAAUGUGUCAAUAUUGUGAAAUUCUGCAGUAGGAAGGAAAUCUGUGAGGCUAGGAGAUGCUGUCUGCUUGUAGUCUGACACAUCAGGCUUGUUGUCAAGCACCCCCUAACACACACAUACACAACAACCUCUGUUCCCACUGUGCCACAAGUCAUUUAACCUUGACUUGCUCGGCGAGGCGCAGUAUUUACCUCAGAGUGGCUCAGUGGUAUGCAUUGAUGUCACCAUCAAUCCCCACAGUCUGCAGGGAGAUCCUGUAGGUUCACAUGUAAACAAGAGCAGCUUCCAUCAAGAUGAAGGCUUUGGUCUGAACCCGUUCAGGUGGAGUCUGGAUCUCUCCAGGUGUGGCUCCUGCAGGGAUCUCCAGCGGGCUGCUUCGACUGGCGCCUAGCAGCCGACCUAGAACUGGUGCAGACCACGGGAAUCCGACUGUUUAAUUGAAACAAAACCUUGUCAGUGCUGACGAGAUGUGAUGCCUGCCCAGUGCUCUUGAUGUCAAAGUGAAGAAAUUCAAUGAAGCUGCGGCUGCGGUUUAUUGGUACUUCUUACAUGGUUAAUUCGUGAUACAUCUGUGACAAUUUCACGUCAAUGAACACAACUUUUCUCACUUUUUUCCAUGGAUACUCACAUAUGACCAAUUUUCAUCUAUGCAAUGUGCACAAAAUGUACAUAGCAGUACAACGUUUAUGCAGGUGAGAGGUUGUAGGGACAGAGAUGUUGUUUUAGGACCUACAAGCGUCCUGAUGGGGUCAUCAAAUGUCUCAAUGGGACUAAAAUGAAACCUCAAGAGUUUGCCACAUUUUCUUUCUUUUUCUAAUUGUGACACUCGGUUAGUGCUGUAUUGUGGUGUAUUUUAGGGGCAUCUGGGAUCUGUACCUUUGAGGGGAGUACUGUCAUCAUUGUGUUGUUGGUUUUGCUUUCUUGUAUUCAGUCAUAUAGUUGUCUGUUUUGAUGGUUAAAAUUGAUCUAUUGGUCCUGCUUCAUGUUAGCAGCUCUUUGAUUUGAUCUGAUGUUGGAUGUUUUGAGAUCAAGUAUUUCCUGUGAAAAUAUGGGUAACUUUUAAAUUGUAUCUUGCAAUCCAAGACUUGUGUCCUUUGAUGUCAUUUUCAAUUUUGAUUAUUUUUAUUUUUUUAAAUAAAUGCCAAAUAAUA